rnacentral:rRNA from 1 species
UACGGGGGGGGCAAGCGUUGUUCGGAAUUACUGGGCGUAAAGGGCGCGUAGGCGGCCUGCUAAGUCGGACGUGAAAUCCCUCGGCUCAACCGAGGAACUGCGUCCGAUACUGGUGGGCUUGAAUCCGGGAGAGGGAUGUGGAAUUCCGGGUGUAGCGGUGAAAUGCGUAGAUAUCUGGAGGAACACCGGUGGCGAAGGCGGCAUCCUGGACCGGUAUUGACGCUGAGGCGCGAAAGCUAGGGGAGCAAACGGG